rnacentral:rRNA from 1 species
GACGAACGCUGGCGGCGUGCUUAACACAUGCAAGUCGAACGGAAAGGCCCUGCUUUUGUGGGGUGCUCGAGUGGCGAACGGGUGAGUAACACGUGAGUAACCUGCCCUUGACUUUGGGAUAACUUCAGGAAACUGGGGCUAAUACCGGAUAGGAGCUCCUGCUGCAGGGGGGGGGUUGGAAAGUUUCGGCGGGUGGGGCUGGACUCGCGGGUUAUCAGCUUGUUGGUGGGGGAGUGGCUUACCAAGGCUUUGGCGGGUAGCCGGCCUGAGAGGGUGACCGGCCACAUUGGGCCUACGAUACGGCCCAGACUCCUACUGGGGGCAGCAGUGGGGAAUAUUGCACAGUGGGCGGAAGCCUGAUGCAGCAACGCCGCGUGUGGAAAGACGGCCUUCGGGUUGUAAACCGCUUUCGCCUGUGACGAAGCGUGAGUGACGGUAAUGGGUAAAGAAGCACCGGCUAACUACGUG